CAAAGACAAGGCCAGCAGAAGUCAAGCCUGGAAGGCUGGGCGUGCCCUGUCCCUCUCCAGAACUAUCCCCCACAGUGAGCCCACAGGAGAAGGACCUCCUGGCUUCUCUCAAAGGCAGGAGGGAAGCCUUUUUGAGAGACCAAGUAUCAGGGUCUUUUCCAAUGAGUUGACUGUUUGCAUCAGGUGACCAAAGUAUUGGAACUUCAGCUUCAGCACCAGUCCUUCCAAUGAAUAUCUGGAGUUGAUUUCCUUUAGGAUGGACUGGUUUGAUCUCCUUGUUGUCCAGGGGACCCUCAAGAGUCUUCUCCAACACCACAACUCAAAAGCACUGGGCUAAUCUAUGGUGGAUAAGUAAUUUAUGGACAUUCCCUGGUGGCUCAGAUGGUAAAGAAUCUGCCUGCGAUGUAGGAGACCUGGGUUCAACCUCUGGGUCAGGAAGAUCUCCUGGAGAAGAAAAUGGCUACCCACUCCAGCUUUCUUGCCUGGGAAAUCCCAUGGACAGAGGAGCCUGGCAGGCUACAGUCCAUAGGUCACAAAGAGUCCAAUAUGACUGAGUGAUCAACACUAUGGAUACUUGAAGAUGUCUUCAGAACCUUUCAUCUGAAAGAAGCUAUGACAGAGCAGAAGCUGGAGAUGUCUGGAUUGAAAUGCAGAGAGCACACUGCUGUUUAAUGAUAAACUGUCAUGAGGUAUACUGUUCCUCCUUCCUGCCAAGGCUGUCUCACUAAGAUCAGACUGCAAAAUCUUUCAGAAAUGUCUUCAACUUAUUAGUAAUUUGGUGAUGAUGCUGGAAUCCAUAACUGCCUAUUAGCUGCCACUUAGUGGCAGAUAUUUUACAGAGAGAUGGGAGCAACCCAAGUGUCCAUAAAAGGAUUUUAAAAAUAUGUUAUAAACCUAAAUGGAAUCACUCAGUUGUGCCUGACUCUGUGACCCUGGACUGCAGCCCACCAGGUUCCUCUGUCCAUGAGAUUUUCCAGGCAAGGAUACUGGAGUGGGUUUCCAUUUCCUUCUCUAGGGAAAUGGAAUGUUAUUCAGCCUUAAAAAGGCAAUUCUGACAUAGGCCAGAACAUGGAUGAACUCUGAAGAUAUUAUGCUAAGUGAAAAAAGUCCAUCACAAAAUGACAAACACUUCGUGAAUCCACUUACACAAGAUACCCCUUAACCCGAGUGCCAAAGAAUUGAUGCUUUUGAACUGCGGUGUUGGAGAAGACUCUUGAGAGUCCCUCGGACUGCAAGGAUAUCCAACCAGUCCAUUCUGAAGAUCAGCUCUGGGAUUUCUUUGGAAGGAAUGAUGCUAAAGCUGAAACUCCAGGACUUUGGACACCUCAUGCGAAGAGUUGACUCAUUGGAAAAGACUCUGAUGCUGGGAGGGAUUGGGGGCAGAAGGGGACGACAGAGGAUGAGAUAGCUGGAUGGCAUCACGGACUCGAUGGACGUGAGUCUGAGAGAACUCCGGGAGUUGGUGAUGGACAGGGAGGCCUGGUGUGCUGUGAUUCAUGGGGUCACAAAGAGUUGGACACGACUGAGACUGAACUGAACUGAACUGACCUGUGAGAAAUAGCUGCUAGAAAUUCUGGUACCCGAAAACAGCAUGAGUAAACAUUCACACAGCAAAAUGUUUCAGCUCCUUUAAAUUUGCAUAUGCACGCUCUGACCUAUUCUAUCAAAAUUUAUAAACUGUCUGAAGAAAAG
ensembl:lncRNA